rnacentral:rRNA from 1 species
GAUGAACGCUGGCGGCGUGCCUAACACAUGCAAGUCGAACGGAAACAGAUCUAGUUUACUAGAUGCUGUCGAGUGGCGGACGGCUGAGUAACGCGUGGAACGUGCCCCAAAGUGAGGGAUAACGCACCGAAAGGUGUGCUAAUACCGCAUAUGGUCUUCGGAUUAAAGAAUUUAUUCGCUUUGGGAGCGGCCUGCGUCGGAUUAGGUUGUUGGUGAGGUAAUGGCUCACCAAGCCGACGAUCCGUAGCUGGUCUGAGAGGAUGACCAGCCAGACUGGAACUGAGACACGGUCCAGACUCCUACGGGAGGCAGCAGUGAGGAAUCUUCCACAAUGGGCGAAAGCCUGAUGGAGCAACGCCGCGUGCAGGAUGAAGGCCUUCGGGUUGUAAACUGCUUUAUAAGUGAGGAAUAUGACGGUAACUUAUGAAUAAGGAUCGGCUAACUACGUG